UCUCCUCCCAGUGGGUCCAGGAGGCAUGAAAAGGCCCGAGGACCCCACAGUGCAGCCCAGGAGGCUGAGGAGCCACGUCCCAGGAGAGUCCCCACCAUGGCCUGGACGGUGCUUCUGCUCGGGCUCCUCGCUCAUGGCUCAGGGGUGGAUUCUCAGACUGUGGUGACCCAGAAGCCGUCCCUGUCAGUGUCUCCAGGAGGGACAGUCACACUCACCUGUGGCCUCAGCUCUGGGUCUGUCACUACCAGUAACUACCCUGGUUGGAUCCAGCAGACACCAGGCCAGGUUCUACACACUCUUAUCUACAGCACAAGCAGCUGCCUCUCUGGUGUCCCCAGUCGCUUCUCUGGAUCCAUCUCUGGGAACAAAACCACCCUCACCAUCACGGGGGCCCAGCCCGAGGAUGAGGCCGACUAUUACUGUGCUGUAUAUAUAUGGGUAGUGGCAGUUACACUAACUCAGUGAUGUAAACUCACGGGG